UACGUAGGGUGCAAGCGUUGUCCGGAAUUAUUGGGCGUAAAGAGCUCGUAGGCGGUUUGUCGCGUCUGCUGUGAAAACUCGGGGCUCAACUCCGAGCUUGCAGUGGGUACGGGCAGACUAGAGUGCGGUAGGGGAGACUGGAAUUCCUGGUGUAGCGGUGGAAUGCGCAGAUAUCAGGAGGAACACCGGUGGCGAAGGCGGGUCUCUGGGCCGUAACUGACGCUGAGACGCGAAAGCGUGGGGAGCAAACAGG
rnacentral:rRNA from 1 species